rnacentral:rRNA from 1 species
GACGAACGCUGGCGGCGUGCCUAAUACAUGCAAGUCGAGCGAAUGACGGAGGAGCUUGCUCCUCUCGAUUUAGCGGCGGACGGGUGAGUAACACGUGGGUAACCUGCCUUAUAGCUUGGGAUAACUCCGGGAAACCGGGGCUAAUACCGAAUAAUACUUUUGGACACAUGUUCGGAAGUUGAAAGAUGGUUCUGCUAUCACUAUAAGAUGGCCCCGCGCUGCAUUAGCUAGUUGGUGAGGUAACGGCUCACCAAGGCCACGAUGCAUAGCCGACCUGAGAGGGUGAUCGGCCACACUGGGACUGAGACACGGCCCAGACUCCUACGGGAGGCAGCAGUAGGGAAUCUUCCACAAUGGACGAAAGUCUGAUGGAGCAACGCCGCGUGAGUGAAGAAGGAUUUCGGUUCGUAAAACUCUGUUGUAAGGGAAGAACAAGUACAGUAGUAACUGACUGUACCUUGACGGUACCUUAUUAGAAAGCCACGGCUAACUACGUGCCAGCCGCCGCGGUAACAC